rnacentral:tRNA from 1 species
CGGGGUGUAGCUCAGUUUGGUAGAGCGCUCGGUUCGGGACCGAGAGGCCCGCGAGUUCAAGUCUCGCCACCCCGACCA